rnacentral:lncRNA from 1 species
CUGACCUUUUUCUCUGAAUUCUAAAUUUACAUCUCGAAUAUUUUAAUAUUAUUUGUAUGUAAAGCACUUUGAAUUACCAUUGUGUUUGAAAUGUGCUGUAUAAGUAAACUCACCUUGCCUUCUCAAAGGAUUUGACAGUGUCACUGGUGCAAGGGUGCAGACAGAUAUGGCCGGAGCAGCAGGUGAUCCAGUGACUGACGGACAGACUCUAACAGACAUGACAGGGCAGGGACACUUAGCUGUGACAGACAGCAUGCCAAAUUACACAGGUAACCAUGUUUCCUAAGCACAUCCAGACACAUGUCAGUCUAGCACUUAU